AGCUAGGAAGAUAGGAAGAGUUUUACAAGAUCCUUUUGGCUAUAUAGUUAAAGUUAUUAGCAGUUAGAGUUUCCCUUACAGUUGACAAGUGAACCAUAAAAGUGAAUGACUUGUGGUUCCUCAGAUAAAAGCACGAGUCAGAGUUGUAAUUUCUGUUUUGUGGACGUAAUUGUUGACCAAGUGCACUGAAGGUAGGGAUGGCCAGUAGCAAAAUUAUAAAGCAGGCCUGUUUGUCUUCAAACACUCCUGAGUAAACUUGUCAUUUCCUUGUAAAAAUGCAAAAUAGACUACUGAGUAGAGGUGAUCAAUUAUAGAAAUGCACUUACUUUGGCUUUCUUCUGAAACCUAAUAAAAUGACAGUAAAGGGAUUAUUUUUUUAAGGCAGAAACCCACAAUGAUGAUGAAAUUAGAAAGGAAGACAAGAACAACAAGGUUGUGGAAUUCAGAAGCCAUAGAGACAAGAGGUAACACACCUGAGAAAGAUGAUCCCUAAGUUUGUCUUGGAGAAAACUCAGAAGUACCUGACUACAUCGUAGACCUCCCAAACAGCUUCCAAAUGUCAGAUACCACUGAACAUGGGGAUAAAGCUGGGAAAACGGCAAUGGAUUAAUAACAAGAAAUUAAUGGUGAAGUGGUGACUAAAAUUCUACAUUGCUUAGAAAGCAAGUAAGAAAAUCAGUGGUUGUAGAGAAGUUCUUCCAUGAGAUAGUGAAAUGAACAUUUACAUUCUGGCAACCUCAGAAGUACAACGAACAGAGGACACCCGCCAGGUAGGGCAAAGGCCUGUGCACCCCCUUUUGCUGUUACAUGUUUACCAGGUGCGUGCUCUGUUUCUGUUGUAUUACAUUACUUUUCUCUUCAAUGUCUACUGAGGAAGAACAAGUAGCUCCUCAGGCAAGUCAACUGUUAACUCUGCAGUUUUUAUUUAAUCUCCCAGGAAUGUAACCUUUAACUUUAAAGAAUGUAGUGACCAUAAAACUUAUAAAGCAUGUUUCUUAAGGAAAUUGUACCUGUUUAUUUAAUCUAUCAGAUAUGAAUGUUAUAGAAAAUUAAAUUUGUCCACUUAAGCUAUAGAUGAACUUUUCACCUUUCUGAUCAGAAAUUCACCAUCUUAUAGUAUAGGUUCUGUUAUUAAUCAGAAUAUUUCAUUUAGACUCUUUCUAUCCAACUUUUUCUUAGAGGCUAUUCAAAAUAAAGGUGCUUCUAACAGUUUCAUAUCGAAAUACGAUGCAAAGCCUUGCUCUUCCAUGGUAUCCUUUGAGUGAGCCAAACUUAUUUGGUCAUUCCCCUAUAGUUAAAUAGCUAGGAUGUUUCCAACAUCUCACCUUUAAAACAAUAGUGCUAUGAAUGUCAUAAAUGUUUGUAUAUGUAAAUAUGUAGGAUAAAUGCCUAUCAGUAGAAUUUCAAAAGGUAUACGCAAUCAGUAUUUUCAUACAUAUUUAAAAUUUUCCAUCCAUACAAAGGUUGCUAACAUAUUUAUUUAAAAUUUUAAAAAUAAUUUUAUAUGCCUCUUGUAACCAGUAAUAGGAUGCAAAGUUUUUUUUUAAGGUAACAUUGCUCCUCUUCCCCCACUGUCUCUGUCAUCUAUAGUACUCCCUGAGGUAGUUCAUGUUAUUGCAAGGGUGUGUAUCAUCCCAAACAUAUUGCUUCCACAUACAUAUAUCAGCAUACAUAUAUAUAUAUGUAUAGCAUGUAUAUAUGAGCACAUAUUAAUAUAUGCCCAUGCACAUACAAGCAUGUUUUUGUUAAUUUUUACUGAAAUGGAAUCAUGCUACAUACUUAUGAACAAAUUGCUUCUUUCACCUUAUAUCACUUAUAAUUGUUAUUCUACAAAUCAGUACAUAUAAAAAAUACAUAUUUACUUAUGUAAUACUCUAUCUUUCUGUUAUAAUUUUCUGCAUGCACAUGUAUGCAUAUACAUAUAUUCAUAAACAUAAAAAUCUA